rnacentral:rRNA from 1 species
UACGGAGGGUGCGAGCGUUGUCCGGAAUCACUGGGCGUAAAGGGCGCGUAGGCGGCCUGAUAAGUAGGGGGUGAAAUCCUGCGGCUUAACCGCAGGGCUGCCUUCUAAACUGUCAGGCUGGAGCACAGUAGAGGCAGGUGGAAUUCCCGGUGUAGCGGUGGAAUGCGUAGAGAUCGGGAAGAACAUCAGUGGCGAAGGCGGCCUGCUGGGCUGUUGCUGACGCUGAGGCGCGACAGCGUGGGGAGCGAACGAGG